AAGGGAGGCCGCCGGCCGAAGCCAGCCCUGAAGAGCCGGAGCGGAGCCCGAGAGGCCCCGCUGACGGGACUGGGAGAAACGCUUCAGCGUUACACCGGAGGAGAUCACAGCUCCCGCAUUCUGCACGGACAGACAAACGCUUCUACUUAAUGAAGCACAGAUGCCCAGUGUAGAAGAAAUAAAGAAACCAUCUUCUGAUGAUCCUGAUUCUGACUCUAAAUUUGAGGAUGAACCAACAGAGGAAGAAACCCAGAAUGACACAUCCAGUACAGAAAUGCAAGAGGAGAUGCAAUCCAGUGGAUCUGUGGAAAAACUGAGGCCCAAGCCUGCUUAUCUGAGUUCAAAUGCAAAAAGCCAAAAGCAAAGUCUUUUUGCUGUAAUCUCAGACAGCUGGUCUCAGAGCCAGAAGAUAAGAUAUUCUCAGGUUGAGAAGAACAAUUUCUGUAACAUCGUGAUGCUGUUAUGCACCAUGCUUUCUUCUCUCACCUGGAACUUUGGCUGCCAGUUGCUCCAGAUCUCUAAUGUCCUGAGGAUUCAACUGCUGCCCUCCUCUCUGAUUAUCUACAUGGCUCAGCUGUUUGUUUUGCUGGGUGAAAAAGUUGUGAAAAUCCUGGGCUCCCUGAGGCUAGAGUUGGCUUCAGUCCUGGGGAGGAAACUGGAACAGAGUGACGAAGCUCAGAGAACCACCUCAGAGUGGAAAUAAAGCAGGUAGUCCCACGACUGUUAGUUAGCAGCAAUCUUGCUCAGCAUCAGUGAGAGCUACUGCAGCAUGGCAGAGGGAGGUAAAUUCUCUGAAAAGGAAACUUACUCGAGACUAAGUGGACAGGCACUUGGGUCACAACAGCUGCUUUCAGAGUGAACGGUAUUGACAGGCUAAAUAUUAAAUGGAUGACAGCAGCCAGCCUCUUGUCCAGUGCUUGGGUGUGUACCCUGCCCCCCUUCGACUUUACAGAGGGAUGAGUUCCUUUUUUCAUAAGGACCACAGUGAUACUCUCUGUUGACCAUUUUGAAAUCUUCGAGGCAAUAGCUCUUGGUAG
rnacentral:lncRNA from 1 species